GGCAGAAAGGCGAGAGCCCGCGGUCCCCGGCUGCUGCCCAGGCGACGCGUCCGGGGCGGGCCCGCACCCGUUGCUCGGUCCGAGGUCCGUCUGUCUGCCCGCGGCUUCUCAAGGGAGGGGAGGGCGCUUCGGGCAGGGUCUCCGCAGCCGCUGUCGCCUCAGAGCUUUAUCCUCAGAUCAAAAAAGAAAAAACAGGAAGAAAAAAAUCCCAACCCCAACACUCUCAUCACAGCCACCUUCAGCCAUCUUGCGCGUAUUAUUAUUUCAGGAAUAAUCUGUUUAAUAAAAAUACCUGCGUAUCCAGCCCCUCCCCCGCGUCCUGGGGUCCCCGCCCCCUUUUAAUAAUAAUCUCGAUAAUAAAAACGAUCGGCGGGCCGGGCAGUCCGUGGCGGCCCUUU